AAGUAUGACGAAUCGAUUGUAAGAAAGAAUUGCACUCCAGCUAUAAACAGAGCCAAACAAGUCAAGUUGAAUUGUCUGCUUGUGGCCAUUACUGAUAUAUUUCUGAUACGUCGAUGAUACAUUGGCUGCAUUCGAAUCGUCAGCUGCAUGUAAAGAUGUCCUUGCAUGUCUUAUUAAGCUGCAUCCUGCACUGAAAUUCAUUGUUGAAAUGGACCAGUCAAAUGAGCUCCCUGUCCUUGACGAUCUCAUUGAGAAAUCAUCUGUUUACAGGAGAAAGCCCUGCCCUGGAAGUGCAGUUUGUGAAAUUCACUACUUAAAGACACAGUUGGCGUG